UAGGGAAUCUUCCACAAUGGGCGCAAGCCUGAUGGAGCAACACCGCGUGAGUGAAGAAGGGUUUCGGCUCGCAAAGCUCUGUUGUUAAAGAAGAACACGUAUGAGAGUAACUGUUCAUACGUUGACGGUAUUUAACCAGAAAGUCACGGCUAACUACGUGCCAA
rnacentral:rRNA from 1 species